rnacentral:rRNA from 1 species
GACGAACGCUGGCGGCGUGCUUAACACAUGCAAGUCGAACGAAAAGGCCCUGCUUUUGUGGGGUGCUCGAGUGGCGAACGGGUGAGUAACACGUGAGUAACCUGCCCUUGACUUUGGGAUAACUUCAGGAAACUGGGGCUAAUACCGGAUAGGAGCUCCUGCUGCAUGGUGGGGGUUGGAAAGUUUCGGCGGUUGGGGAUGGACUCGCGGCUUAUCAGCUGGUUGGUGGGGUAGUGGCUUACCAAGGCUUUGACGGGUAGCCGGCCUGAGAGGGUGACCGGCCACAUGGGGACUGAGAUACGGCCCAGACUCCUACGGGAGGCAGCAGUGGGGAAUAUUGCACAAUGGGCGGAAGCCUGAUGCAGCAACGCCGCGUGCGGGAUGACGGCCUUCGGGUUGUAAACCGCUUUCGCCUGUGACGAAGCGUGAGUGACGGUAAUGGGUAAAGAAGCACCGGCUAACUACGUG